GCACACUACAUUUCUUUUUUUUUCUUCAUCUAUAAUUAGCUCCUUGCCAACUUGACAAUGUGCAAGAUCCAUUUCUGAUGCAAUUCCUUGUUCAAGCUCAAGGCCCAGAUCUUCUAGAUUUCACUAGGGUCCAGAUUGAUGUUUCUGUGAGCACUUCCAAAGAUGAAUUGUAGGAUGUAACAAGCUGACUCCAGUCAUCUUUGACUCUCCAAACUUAUGAUGUUAAAGAUACCUUCAUUAAGUUUUCAAUAAAUGAGAGCCCUGCAGAUAUGUUCUUCAUGGAGGUUGAAUGGAAGUUUGCCCAUCACCUGUGGAAGGUAGAUGUUCUAGCUGUGAGAUGAAGGUAUAUAUUGGGUUGAACGGAGCCUGUGGGAACUGCUGAAUAUUUGUUUGGCGGCAAUGAACAACUCUGACCGCAUGGAUGAUGAUCCACCUUGCACCAACCAAGAAAGGUUAGUUUGAAACAAAAUUAUUUCAGUUUCAUUUGAAGAACCAUGCAAUUCAUUUACUGUUAAAUUAUCAUGUUUCUUUUUGAACCGCAUUAAUUCAUUUUCUAAAAAUUUUUGCAAGUCUUCUUGAAACCAUAAUUUAUUAUUCAUACAUACUCCAUCACUCUUUGGGAUUUUUUCUUUUAUUUAUUAAAUAAAUUUUAUUUAAGAGUUUACUAAUUCUAGAACUUGAAAUUGAAGAAGGUACUCCAGAUGUUUGUAGGUAGCUAGUAAAUGGAAUUGAAUGGUUAUCUCGUUGGGUUAAUAAAUGGGUCUUAAAUACACUCAACUUUUAGUAAAUGAGUCAUUACUUGCAAUUGAAUGAAGGAUGCGCCGUGUGGCUUUGCAACUCUUUCAUCUUACUCUUUCUUUAUAUAACUAAUUAAUAUUACUUCAUAUCAUAAGCACACAAUUAAUGUCCCCACUUUGAUACAUGUGAAUGCAUUCAGGUCACAACCUUGUGACCUCUCUCCUCCCUUUCAUUCUCCACUAUUAGAUUUUGAUCCACUUCUCUACAUUUUUCUUUAACUCUUCUUCACUUUGAUCUAUAAUAAGGAUAAGCCAAGUAUUGGGUUGACAUUUUAUUAGGAAAAUACAAAGGUUGACCUUGCUUGCCUUGCUAUUUAGUAGUUUUGAACUUGGGAUAUUCAUAUUUAAAUUAUUUUGUAUGGGUAGGUAUGUGAUUGUGGUAGAGAAGAAAUAUUAAUUGUUUGAGGGUUUUGAAAAAGUUAUCAGAUUAGUAGUUGAUUGAGGCUAUCCAAUCAAAGUCAAAAUGUAUUGUUGAGCUGGAGAAAUUGGAUGAGGAUUUUAAAUUGAUCCCAUUAUCUAUCACGAUUAGAUUCAUAUCAAUUCAAUUAAAUGUUUAACAUUUACGGCUCUUAUUAGUGUUUGACUUGUUAAAGCUUUCAUUAACUCAAGCACUUGGAUAAACUAAAUGCAAACAUAUGAUUCUCAUAAUGUAUUAGUAGUUUAAUGUUUUUUUCAUUGCAAUUAGUUGGUGAAUAGGAACAAGCCAUGUGCCCAUCUCUUAAUGAACUUAAUUAAAGGUAGGGUUAGAAAAUUACAAAUGCAUUCAUUGUAGAAGACUUAAAGAGCCUUUAACUUCUUCUCCAUGAACCUUUGCAUGACAUUCAAUUGAAAGUGGCCAACUCUUGAUGGGUGCUUAGUCAAAUCUCUAACUUAAUAGUUUCCAACUUGAAAUCAUUCAAUUAAGUUUUUAUUUUCAUUUUUUUUAUUUUUUAUGGUUUAUAUUGUUUGUUUGGACUGAGCUUUUGUUUGAGUGCUCUUAAUUUCCACCCACCAAGGCAAACAUCAAGUGAAUAUUUCUAAUAUUACAUGCUAGUCCAUAAACA